CGAUCUUGGGAUAAAUACUCGAGCGUGAAAAUUUAAAAUAUCGACGCAACUUGACCGUUUUGUCAACAACGGAGAUAAGAUAAGAUAAGAUAAGAUAAUGUUCGAUGUACACACGCGUUCUCGACGAAGCACGUAAGCGUGCUACGAGGUUCCCCUUCCCACUCACCCAUAAGAGAGGGAGAACUUCCAAGCGUUCAACAACCGUUCAACAAGAGCCAUUCGCUCGCAAAAGACCACGAUAAUGUCACGAGACGCUCCGCUCCAAAUACUCGGCGUCAACUUCUCGAAAAGUCGUUCUCGAAAUAUUCGUUCCUCUAAUAAGAUCGGGGCCACACAACUUUCCAGGUCUAUUGUGCGGUUCAGAGGGAGUCCCGAUCGGUUUCAUUCGUCGCAAAUACAUCUCGUGUACGGUUGCUUAGUGCAAGAUUGAGAACGAGAGAGCGACGAAAGGUUUAAAGGUUUAUUAUCGUUUCGAAUUUCGAAUCUUGCAAGUUGAGCCGUAAUUGUAAACGUAACUUCGCUCGUUACAGUGCUCGGUUAGAAGGACGACGUUACUUGUUAAAAUUACAACGAAUUUAUUUUCUUUGAUUUAGUUCUGAAAACAGGCUUCUAUCGUCGAGUAAAAUUUUAUUUUUAAUCUUUCGAGGAAUACAGGAGAUGUAGUUUUUUUUUCCUUUUUUUGAAUUAAAAUUUUGAAGAAUUGAUCCUACGCGGAAUUUUUUAAUAAAAAAAAAAAAGGAGGAAAAAAAAAAUCGAAGCACCGAUAUAAUAUUUUACUUCACUUGACAAUCGUUGCUUUGAAAGUACUGUAACGAUGCCUCUUCGUGUGUUGCAGUGUCCCUGAAGAGAUUAAGUUUCAAUAUACAAUCAAUCUUCUUCUUUUAUAGCAACUAUUUUGAAAACACGAUUUCAAUGGAAACAGGAAACAAAAAUUGCGACAAUUCUUCUGUAAUACAAUAUUUUUGUAACGUGGUUUCCCCGUAUUCUAUACCGUACACCAUGACUCGAUGUAUUUAUCGUUCGACAAUCUUUUUACAAUGUUUCCAAUAUAAAUAUUUUUGUUGACACGUUUGUAUUAAUUCUAAACGUUUCGUUAUUAAUCGAGACGUUGGUAAUUUCCAAACUAUUUUUGAAUUUUAAAAUUAUUAUUCUAAGAUAAGAGGUGUCUUUUCUAUCUUACAUUUUCAUCUUACGUUUCCUUUAUUAGCAGAGAAAAGUGAAUAAAUAGCGUUAUCGUAAAAGGAAGAACGCACAUCCGUGACAAUCUUUGAAAAUUAAUUGCGAAGUUCCAAUAAUUAUUAUCAAUUACGACAAAUAAAUCAAGCUCUCAUA